AGCAAAGUGAGGAGAUUAUAUGAUCUGAAGUAUCUAAUGUGGAUACAACCAUACAUGGUCUUCAUAGUUCUCUGAUUGUU
rfam:Triticum aestivum genome assembly, contig: Triticum_aestivum_CS42_TGACv1_scaffold_528906_6DL